ensembl:lncRNA
UUCCAGGCAGGGAAGACAAGGUAAAGUAUGCUGAAAUUCUGCUGUGUUCACUUUUAGAUAAAACACGGAUUCAUGCUGCUGAAGUCCAUGGAGAUGCUAAAGUCAGUCAUGUAUAAACAGUGAUCUAUGAUCUAAAGUUUCAGGAGGGACGAAGAAUGCACAGUCCAAAACGUUGGUCAUCUACCUGAGAAACACAUUAACAACAGGGAUCAGAAGAGCCUUUUGGCAUGAAGCAGAAAAGAAUCCCGACAAAAGAACCCCGACUGGGCCCGGGCCGGGGCAGGGCCGGGAAGGCGCGGCGGGGCCUGCAGGGCGGCCGGCGGCCACAGGGGGGCUUCGUUCAGCCUCUCACAGAGGAGCGGCGGCGGCCGCUUGGCUUUCCCCCUCCCUCACGGAGGCUGUGCUUCCAGCUCUGGGUUAUCCCGUUCAUUCCAGGUUCUUAAAUUCUGCCCCCUUAACGCCGUUCAGGUUAAAGGCAGUUCAGCACAACUUGCCCUUUUCAUAAGUGUUGUGUUACCUUAAUAAAAAUGUGCUAAAAGCACUUACAGCCGUCCAGAAUUCUGGGGUACUGCUCUACUUUUUACUACCAACGGGUACUUCAACCAUUUAUUCCUUAAAUAAUUAGCCAUGAGAGUAAUCACAGAAUCAUAGAAUUGUUUGAGCUGGAAGGGACCCUUAAAGGCCAUCUAGUCCAUCUCCCCUGCAAUGAACAGGGACACCUACAGCUUGAUCAGGGUGCUCAGAGCCCCGUCCAGCCUGACCUUGUAUGUCUCCAGAGACCCCAUCCACCACCUCUCUGGGCAACCUGUGCCAGUGCCUCACCACCCUUAAUGUAAAAAACUUCCUUACAUCUAGUCUAAUUCUCCCCUCUUUUAGUUAGAAACCAUUUCCCCUUGUCUUAACACAACGGAUGCUACUGGAGGGUCUGCCCCCUUUUUUUUUUCUUACAGCCCCCCUUUAGAUACUGAAAGGCUGCUAAUACAUAUGAACAACAACAAUACAUCUUUUUGUUAUUAUUAUUACUUAAACAAUUGCAUUCAUUCAUAGAUCUCAAAGUGCUAUUUAAAUGAGGUCAGCACAAUUAACCCUGCUGAACCACUGCUGUGCAGAGCUUCCAGACUGCUGUCACUGUGCAUCAGCCGAGCACACAGUCCUGUCUCUAACACCUUUAAGCAAAGACUGGAGCCAAAACCAAAGCGGCAGGAAGCUUCCAUAUUAGAUAAGGUUUUUGGACACAGAAGCUCUCACUGCCUCGAAGAGAGAGAGAAAACAGCCUGAAAGCAUUUGGAAACUGCCCUGCUGUGGUUGGAACAGUUGGGGAUCACUGAAGAACUGCAAUGAGGGGGAGCAGCAGCUGGCAAAAGCUAGGAGAGUUAGGUGCAAGAGGAGAGCAGAGCUCCUUAAGUAACACACAGCCCAGGGAGCUGUCACGGGUCUGAGAUAGGUUCCUGUUCUUACUCGGAGAGAAACGUUCCCGGUGAUCUGGAAGAGCGAGGGGGCUAAAGCCCUAAAAGGAGGCCUCCAAUUUUAGAAAUGCCUCUUGUCCCCACAAUCCCUCCAUUUUUAUAACAUUUUUUAGGUAUGACAUUAUACAAACUAUGUAACUGACAAAUCCUCCAUUUGCAUUAGAUUUAAGUGGCUUCCCUCCCAUCACUCCUCGCUGUUAAAAAUACAUUACAGAAAUUACUAUCCCGCCUAGGAAAAUGUGUGAUGACUCCAGUGUCUGUCGUUUAUGUCUAAAACAUUUUGGCACUUAUCCUGCCAGGUUGUCUUUUCCUUUCAGCUUUGAGUGAGAGAAGGGGAAGUGCAGGGUGAGGGGCCAGAUUUUUCUAUUUCCCUAGUUGCUGCCUGCAUGCAUUGCAGCCCACACUGCAGGCGUGAUGGGAUCUAAAUGCUGAGCAGGAGCAGUGAAAUCCUCGUGAGGAAAAGAGAAUAGAAAGCAGAGAGAAGCCACACUUCAGGCUACCCUAAGAGUGUCUGUAUCAAAUCAGAGCAAAGAUACUGCCCAAGAUCUUGUCUUCCUACAACAGUCAAUAUUUACAGAGAAACUAUCAGCAAACAGCAAGCGUGACAUGAUCUUUCCUCCUGAGUCACCUUUCAGCUUCUGCAAAGGGGACAGACACCUUUCUGCCUUCAUCUCAUUUGCAUGUGGACUGAAUUUGGCCCUCUGCAUCUGAACAAGCCCCCAAUCUCCUUCACUCCCCUCUCCUGCAGCCCCCAGCUGCUACAUCAGUGCCAUUGGGGCUGCUCACAUCAGGCAUUUCUAAACACUAAUCAAGCACAGAGAUCCCUUUUCCCUCUGCUAAGAGCCUGGCUCAAUCUGGAAGGAAAGGAGGAGAAUCAAUCUACCUGAUUGCUGUAUCCCUUUCAUCUUGCACUUUGCAGCCCCUUGCCAAGCAGAGCAGCGGGAGAGUUUCAGCUCGAUCAGCUCAGCUGCUCCCGGCAGGUGUCACUAUGGAAUGGCAAAAUGCAACUCGAAGGCUGUGAUUGCUGCUGCAGGCAGCAUGUCCGCUGAAGUGCCACGUUGGUACCAUGGCGCUGCAGCCAGGAAAGUUUCCUAAUUAGAUCUGAAACAGAGGUGCUGCUGCCCUCUGCUUUCCCCAUGUUUGUCUCUCCACUGUCACAACCCUAACAGUGGGUUGGAGGAGUUUUCUGGGUUUUUUUGUGUUUUCUUAAAUAUAUAUAUAUGCAACAUUGCUUAGCAAUGAAUGAAGAGUCACCCUUCUUCAUGGAUCGCUGCCUCGUGUAGUAACAUGAGCACAAUGACGUGUAAAGUUUCCAGAACUGUUGGUAAUUACUGAUAAGCCCAGUUCAGCUCUCAGUUACAUACAAAGCUGGGUAAACAAUGGGAGGAAAAAAUUAAUUAGAGCCCAUGUUUGCUAAAGCUGGCUAGCGAUUCCAUCUGAUCACGUUCCUGCUCCUUUCAUUCCCUUUGCACAAAUGUUUGGGUGGUCAGGUUAUGCUGGUGUGUAGGUGUACAGGAGGAGCUUUUGUCUGUGCAAAUAGUGCAUCUCUCCCAGGGCAUGGGCCCUUCUGGUAAGCACUCGCCCAUGCCCUUGUGUUUGCAGCUGGGAAGGUGUCUGAAGGCCUGGGCAGGCAGAGGUUAAAUGGUUGCCUCUCCCAAGCAAUACAUACCUGAAGUCUCCACACCACCAAAACCAGCAAGGGAAGAAGGAAGAGAGAACAGGUGGGAAUGGGAAACAAUAGGAAGGACACACAUCUAGAGAAAUUUCACAUGUUUUGACCCCAUAGUACUCUUUGGCAAUGUGUCUUCUGUGACACAGCACAGACUAUGUGAAGCGGAAAAGGAAGAUUCAGAAAGCUUCUAUUUGGCAUGGGCUGGACACAUUACUAGCACAAACAUUGGGCCUAGAUCACAUUGCUUCACUUGCUGGGAACGCUGGGACUGGUCAAGUUCUUAGAGACUUCUUCCAAUCAAUUGUAAGACUUCAUGAGUACUACACGGCACCUUGAACACUGCAUGGGCUGCUUGUAUCUGCCUGAUUUCUCAUCAGGGACUCAGGCAACUUCCAGUGUGACAGGAGUCAGGGUGUUGCCAGGGAUCUAAACAUCACAUUCUCCUCCAUGACUGAAUCCUCUCACUGUGGCAGGCCUGAUUUCCUUGUGUCAAAGUAAGUCCGGUCUUGACAACAUGGUCAGACCAGACGACCUCCAAACACCCCUUCCAACUAAAAUAACUGUUAAGUCCAUGAUUGUGGGGUCAUUUCCUGAUAUACUUCUUUCCCUGAGGUUCUCCCUCAGAGCCAGUGCCUCAGUGAUUUCUUCAGAUUCAGCUCAAAAUUGUGGAAACCAGGUCAAGCCAUGAUGGGAAAGCUACAAGGCCAAGCUUACCAUGAGAAAUCAUGGGGAAAAUACAAAGCCUACACCAUGAUUCUUACGGCAUGAAUGGAAUGGGAUGCAUCCACUAGAAGAACUGGUUGCACAGCAAAAUAUAUUUAUACAUAUAUAUAUAUAGGAGACAAUGCAGUUCUUUUGGAAAUAGCUUGUAGAGAGUACCAAAUUGGACUGAUUUUUUGAUGUCAAUAAACCAUCUGAUGAGUCCUGGCAUCUUCAGAGUCUUGUGAUGUCUUUCUCCUCUUGUGAAGAAAUGCUUGGCAGAUGAAUCCAUAAAAUCCUGUCCUUUUGUGCACUCAUUUUACAGCACUGUUUGUGUCCUGGUGCACAAAGUUGUGUUUUAUGGAGUGCUAGGAAAGGCUCAGAUCAAAGCUAAUGCGAUUUAUCCAUGAUACUUUCUGCAAGAAGAGUUCAAAAGAUAGGAAAUCACAUAUGAAGAAAAUUAGGCUUUGCAUAUAAUUUCCUGUACUUUAUGGAGAGCUGAGACCACAGAAAGAAGGAUUCUGGUGAGAGGCCUGAUACUGAUCCCUUCUUUCUCCCACUAGCACAUUGGAUAAUAUAGAUCCCAUCUAAUUUAACCUGUGGGGACUCCUCUUUGCCUCCAACCGCUGACCUGACAGUGUGCUUCUAACACAAACUCUGAGUGUAAUUAAAUUCUCUUAUUUCCCCAUUUGAGCUACUAUUAGGAAAAAAAAAAAGCCAAAAAAACAUUCCUAUGCUCCUAUUUUUGUUUACUUCAAACAGUUGCUGGAUGUAAGCCAUUCUAAUUAAACUGCAAAGUUCUUCUGUGGGCAGCUCGGAUGUUGGUAAAAUUGAUGUCAAGUGUUACAGAAAUCUGUAUUGUUUGCAGUGAUCUUUCUGAAUUCCACUGGCAUAGAGAAGUAGCAGCCAAAAACAAACAAACAAACAAACAAACAAACAAUCAAAUAAAUAAAUAAAGCCCCUAGAUCUAUUUACUAUUGCUUUUUUUUUUUUUUUUUUUUGGCUGUUCCCAGGGUCUUCAUGCAAUUUGCUAAGCCAGGAUACAGCUUGAUGCAGGACAUCAGCUGAUAAAUGUGGGUGGUACUUGGGCUUCAGAUAAAGAUUAAUCUAUAAAUUAAUCAGGGGACAAGAAAAUCUCCUUCCAUAACAAGAACAGCCCUUGUAAAUCAAGGUUUCAAUUUGGUAUAAUUAAAUGAGCAACUGGCCUGCAAAUUGUUGACCACACACAGGUUACAGAAGUGAUACUAUUGUAACCUACAUGGUUGUGCCAAGUUUCCAACAGAAGACCCUGAGGCACUUCUCUAGCGGUGUGGGAAGGUCUGGAGCAUCACCCAGCUGAGCUGCGUGCACUUGCUCAUACUCAAUUAGCAAGUUCAGGCUGUGUAUAUAACCCAUGCUGCCUACGGUGCCAAGCAGCCAAUUGCCCUCAGCAGCUACUAAUAUAGAAUUGCAAAGUAUAGUUAAUUAAGUAGGUACAAUUUAUUCCAUAGUAUGUUCCCUGUGUAUAAAACUGCGUGUAGUUUUUGGCUAUUGAUGUAGGAUACUGCUUUAAGAGUUAUCCCUUGUGUUCCUGGUCUCAGGUGCCCAUUCCUUCUUCUACGUAGUAUGUGGGACCUUGGCCUGUACUUGGGAUUGUGGAGUCAUAGAAUCAUAGAAUCCUUAGAUUUGGAAGGGACCUCUGAAGGCCACAUAGUCCAACUCCCCUGCAAUGAACAGGGACACCACAGCUAAAUCAGGUUUCCCAGGGCCUUAUUGAGCCUCACCUUGAAAGUCUCCAGGGACAGGGCAUCAACCACAUUGAGUAACCUGUUCUAGUGCCUCACCACCCUCACUGUAAAAGAGUUUUUCCUUAUAUCCAAACUAAAUCCACCCUCCCUGAGCUUGAAACCAUUUCCCUUUGUUCUAUUGCCACAGAUCCUGCUAAAGAGUCUUUGCCCUUCUUUCCCGUAGCUCCCCUUUAGAUACUGAAAGGCUGUUAUCAGGUCACCUCUCAGCCUUCUCUUCUCCAGGCUGCACAGCCCCAGCUCUCUCAGCCUGUAUGCGUAGGAGAGGUGUUCCAUUCCCUGAAUCAUUUUUGUGCCCCUUCUCUGGAUGCACUCCUAGAAGUCUAUGCCUGUCAAGUCUCCUGUACUGAGGACUCCACAGCUGCAUGCAGUACUCCAGGUGAGACCUCACAGCGCAGUGUAGAGGGGCAGGAUCACCUCCCUUGCCCUAUUGGUCAUAUCUGGUCUAGUGGUUGGCAACCUUGCACAUAGCAGGGGGGUUGAAACUAGAUGAUCAUUGUGGUCCCUUUCAACACAGGCCAUUAUAUGAUAUAAUUCUAUGAUCUUUUGUUGCAGAUCAGGAUAUGCUUGGCUUUCUGAGCUGCAAGGGCACGCUGCUGGCUCAUGUCUAGCUUGCCAUCCACCAGUCCCCCCAAGUCUUUUUCAGCAGGGCUGCAUUUAGUCCUUUCACCCCCCAGCUUAAAUUUGUAGUGGGAGUUAUCUUGACCCAAAUGUAAGAUCUUGUAUUUGGAUUUGUUGAAUAUCCUGACGUUCACCUGGGCUCACUGCUCAAGCUCAAGUCCCUC